CUAAAAUAUAAAUAUAUUUUCUUUUGGUCAAAAUAAAUUUAAACUUUUAAACUCUGUAAACCUUGAUAUCAUUUAAUUGGAUGUUACAUAAAAACCGUGUUAAAGGGGGGAAAAAAAAAAUCAGCAAGACAACAUCUGUAGAUAGCUCAGUUGAUUGAAACUCUUGUGGCAGAAACUAAUCAAGUAAUUAAAGAGGGAGUAAUUAAUUAAAUCCAUUUCAAAAAUCAAAUCAAAAUCUAAAUUGCUAAUGCAAAAGACCAAAUAUAAAUUGGGUGAUGACAUGAGCUUGUAGUUUCAAACAAAAUCUUAUGUUUGUGUUUUUGGCUUAUAAUACAAAGAUAAUCUUACCUGAAAUGAUUGUGCAUGUCACGAUUGGAUCCUUGAUUAGGCUUUGUCGAAUGAAUCAAGACUCAAGACAACAUCCAAAUAUGUAUAGUUUUGAACACUGUUUUCUGAUCCUCUCAAUAUAUACUAUUUGAUCAUUUUUAUGUCCCGUAUUGAUUUUGUUUCUUAAGUCAUGUUUUUUAGAUAAUUAAAUGGUGAAAGGUAAUUAAUUAUACAUAUUUGAUAUCUAAUCAAGGGAAGUAACGAGCCUUAAUCAUCAUCAUCAUCAUAUAUAUAUAUAUCAAUAACUAAUAUUAUGCAUGAUGAAUUGUGAGCUUUAAAAAUCCAAGUUGCAAAUCUCUUUCUUUUUAAACUAUAUAAAUGAAAAUUAAAUCUAAUUUAAAACACAUAAUAGGAUUCUCGUUACCAUCUCAACAAGUUUUAUCAAUUAAUUAAAUUUGUAUAUCCACUAAAAAAUAUAUGACUUUAACCGAUACAAAUUGACUCAAGAUAACCACAGUAAUUAUCUUUAAUUAAUGACUAGAAAGAUAAGCUAAAUCAAUAUCAUUAAACCCAAAAUGAUGAUGAUGAUAAAUACAAUGGGCCAAAUAUAAUAUUACAUGAGCUUGUAGUUUCAAAACAAAAUCAUGUGUUCGUGUUUUUUGGCUUAUAAUACAAAGAGAAUCUUACUUGAAAUGAUUGUGACACAAUUUGAUUCUUGAUUAGGUGUGUCCAAUGAACUCAAGACAACGAGGAAACAUCCAAAUACAAAUGCAUAAUUUAUUUUGAGCACUGUUUUCUGAUCCUCUUAAUGUAUAUACUAUUUGAGAUAAAUGCGAUCAUAUUUUUGCCCCUUAUUAAUAUUGUUUUUUCAAGUAAUUAAAUGAUGAUGGAGGUAAUUAUAUUAAUUAAAAAAUUGAUAUCUAGUCAAGGGAAGUAACGAGACUUAAUUAUCGUAUAUGAUGAUUCUUUUUAAAAAAUUUAAUUGAUAUGUAUUGACUUAUGAAAAAUUAAUAUUAUGCAUGAUGAAUUGUGAGCUUAAAAACCCAAGUUACCGAUCGCUUUCUUUUUAAACGAUUAUAUAAAUAAAAAUUAAAUCUCUUUUCAACACGUCAUGGGAUUCUCGUUACCAUCUUAAAAGAUUUCAUCAAUUAAUUAAGUUUAUAUAUCAACUGAAAAAAUAAAUGAACGUAACCGAUUCGAGUUGACUCAUUAUAACCACAAUAAUUAUCUUCAAUUAAGGACUAGGAAUUAAGCUUAAUCAAUAUCAAUAAACCCAAAAUAAUAAUAAUAAAAUACACGCACAAAGAUUUGGAAUAUUUCUUCAACGUUAAAAAUCAAGUUUGGCCCAAUUUCUUAAUUAACUAUAUUUCCAUUUGAUGGAUGCGCAAAUGGUGCAUGACGAUGAAAUUGACAAUGAAAUCGAAGCAUGAUCAUCGAACAGAACAAGUGAAUGAUUUAGAAAUUUAACAAUUAUUUUAGCUGAUACAUGUACAAAAACACAUAAACUAUAUAGCAUCCUAGCUAAAUUAACUCAGUACAGAAAAAAGUAAAAAAAAAAAUCACAAAUAUGUGAAAAUCUGCAGUCUCAAAAACCUAGAAAUCAAACAUGCAUGUUGAUUUAAGUUAAGAUGAAGAAGACGAUCAGUUGAUUUGGCCACCUCCUCCAGAGCUGCCCGGUGGCCGCGGUGGCCUUUUUAUAACUCUUAAUGCCCUCGUCAUUGUUGAUUCCAUUGCAUACUCUUCCUCCUAUAUAUAUGCAUUAAAUUAACCAAAAUUUAUUUUUAGUGUUUGGAAUGAGAGAAAAUAAAAAAGAAAGUGAGAGAAAAAUAAAAGAAUACUAAUGAUAUUACAGUUGCUUUCAUUUGUGUUUCUGCCCCAGAAGCCGGAGUUGUAUCAGCGUCUGCUUGUUGAGUAUCUUUGCCUAAGCACUUGUACAAAGCUUUGAUAAGCUGUUCAACUAAGUAACAUGGGCUGUAUAAGGAAUAUGCUUCUUCUCCUCUUUUCUCUUCUUCUGCUGACCUUUCCAUUUGCUUCUUGCUUCUAGCUUCUAGCUUCUGCUUCUUGUGUUAUUGUUUGCUUUUUGGUUUGGUGGGUGGUGUUUAUUUCACUUCACCUGCCACUUUGUAUCUCUAGCGCUGUGAGAGAGACACCUGCCUCUGUGUAUUUAUUGACGACCUUCUAUUGAGAUCUCUAAAUUUUCUAUUGAAGUUUUUUAAUCUUAUUUUAUAUUUGUUUCUUCAAUAUUGAUGAUCUCGUACCUUUGUCAAACAUUAAUGAUCCAUUUAUGCUGCGUUUACUUUUGCAGCAUACUUUUUAGAUUGAAGUGAGAAUCCUGAGGAGUGGGAAUCCUUGGAUUAGGAGUGUGGAGUGGAAGUGAGAGUAGGGUGUUUACUUAGACUAAAUAAAAGUAUGGAUUGUCAAUUAGAAUCCUAAUUAUUUGUUUACUUUGUCUUGGAUUGUGAGUAAAUUAUUUUAAAUUAUAAUUU
rnacentral:lncRNA from 1 species